AGCUUUGUGUAGUGGCAAUAUUGUAGCCAGUGAGGUUUAUCUGAGGCGCAAUUAUAGCUAAUUGAAAAAAAAAAAGAAUAUUCAAAGUACAAUCUUGAAAUAUAAUUCUGCAUGUGAUAGAACA
rnacentral:snRNA from 1 species